rnacentral:rRNA from 1 species
UCGAGAAUCUUCGGCAAUGAGCGCAAGCUUGACCGAGCGAUGCCGCGUGCGGGAUGAAGGCCCUCGGGUUGUAAACCGCUGUCGUAGGGGAGUAAUGGUCAGAGGGUUCUCCCUCUGAUUUGAACAAUCCUAGGAGGAAGGACGGGCUAAGUUCGUGCCAGCAGCCGCGGUAAGACGAACCGUCCAAACGUUAUUCGGAAUCACUGGGCUUACAGAGUUCGUAGGCGGUCCCAAAAGUUAGGUGUGAAAUCCCUCGGCUCAACCGAGGAACUGCGCUUAAAACUGUGGGACUCGAGGGAGAUAGAGGAAAGCGGAACUGAUGGUGGAGCGGUGAAAUGCGUUGAUAUCAUCAGGAACACCGGUGGCGAAGGCGGCUUUCUGGGUCUUACCUGACGCUGAGGAACGAAAGCCAGGGGAGCGAACG